rnacentral:antisense_RNA from 1 species
GCGGGGAGAAAGAGCAGGGGGGCGCCAGGCCUGCGCUUGGCACCGCCGCUACCUGGAUUCGCGGGCCCCUCACACACUCACCUGCCGGUUUUCUAAUCACAGAAUUACUGGAGCGUCAAGAAGCGCCUGCAUGCUUGGAAGGGCUUCCAGGCAGAUGAACACACCUCAGCACCGGGUGGCAGUUUCCCAGGGUGCAACCCGGACCGGCUCUGGGUCACACUGACAAGGAUAACAAGGAUUAACAAUUUCCAGAGACAGCCCGUACAUAGAGGGAAAGUUUACUGAAAAAAAUGAAGAGGGGUCAGGGCAAGGCGAGGAGCAAGAAGCAUCCCCAAGGAAACAGAGAAGACCAGUACAACUGUACCUCUUUGCCAGCUGCACCAUCCGUACCAGUCUCCUGGGGUGGGAGUGUACAGCUCAGAGACUGCCACACUGCAAGACGAAGGGGCUGGAUGGACGGAAGUAAGAGGCGGAACCCUGCACACCCUCGGCCUCAGCCCCACUGAGUCUCCAAUGGGGCCACGCUUCUGAGUGCACCUCCCCCUGUCAUCUGUAAUGUGAGGGGGAACCAGGCUUGAUAUGGCAUUCCCAAUCCAGGGC